rnacentral:rRNA from 1 species
UUCCGGUUGAUCCUGCCAGACCCGACUGCUAUCAGAAUAGGACUAAGCCAUGCGAGUCAACGUAGCAAUACGUGGCAUACGGCUCAGUAACACGUAGUCAACAUGCCCAGGGGACGUGGAUAACCUCGGGAAACUGAGGAUAAACCGCGAUAGACCAUAAUGUCUGGAAUGAUUUAUGGUUCAAAUCUACAUGGCCCCUGGAUUGGACUGCGGCCGAUCAGGCUGUUGGUGAGGUAAUGGCCCACCAAACCUAAAACCGGUACGGGCUCUGAGAAGAGAAACCCGGAGAUGGGCACUGA